GUCUUUCUGAAAAAAAAAUGGGGGGGGGGGGAACAGACGAUGCCUGAUUCUAUCGGGAGAGCCAUCCGUGAUUCACCCCCAAGAGACCCGUGGACAAAAUUGAAAAGUACCGGUGGGACUGCAGGAGCUUACAGGGAGCCCGCCCUGAGCGGGGUUGGGUCCAUUGUGGGUCCGGAGACAUUGCGGUGCCAGGCCAGAGGGCCCACCAUUCCACCCUUUUUUGGGCAGGCUUUGGCGGUGUUCACUUCCCUGCUUUGUGGUGUAAGGUCACUUAAUAAAUUGUCCGGACGAUACGGUUGCUAACGAGACAAGUGAUAUUCGUUGUGAAUACACCCCCCCCCAAAAAAAAGAGAAUAGAAUAUGAUCUACAAAGGCAAAAAAAAUGACCACUAGUUGACGAGAAUAGUAAAUAAUAGACGAUGUUGAACGAAUAGAAGUACACCUAGAUUCCAAGUACUUCUGCUAUUCCAAAAAAUGGCAUAGAGUGGAACGCCGCUAUAACGAACACGACGGGGUCCACGCUAAAUUUAGCGAAAGGUCCGUGCGUGACGUCACCACGCAAAACUCUGACGCAUCGAACACCAGAUUCGUAUGGAUACGCUGCAAACAACACGUGGUGUGCGGUGGCGUGGCACACGAUGCACGUGUGUAGUACAUGUUUAUAGAUAUGCCUACUGAGCACAUUUUCGCGACUUCGUGUAUCAUCAAGAAAUUAGUCUUUGAGGAACCGCCGGCACACCUGCGUGAUGACAUUGAUGGAAUUUGGGAAGGCCUCAUUGCCAGGUGAAUGUACUGCCAUGGCUGCUGCCUACAUGAACGUUGAGGGUAGCUAGCGUCAUGGUGCAAGUGGACUGACCGAUGAUAUCUCCAAAGUGAAGAGGCAGGUUACAUCAUAAGUAGGACAGACCUCCUCAUAUGAAAGCUGUGGGUAUGCCCCAGGAGAAG